GCCAUGGGGAGCUGCGAACAAGCUUUGAUCCGUGGAUUUCUGAAUGGGGCAACCCGGCCCGCAAGGGUCACCCGGCAACGGGAGCUAACCCAGGGAACUGAAACAUCUCAGUACCUGGAGGAAAGGACAUCAACAGAGACUCCGGUAGUAGUGGCGAGCGAACCCGGACCAGGCCAGUGGCCCAGUUUGACGAAGCCGAACAGGUUGGAAAACCUGGCAUUAUGGGUGAUAGCCCCGUAGGCGUUUAGAACGACUGGGUCCUCGAGU
rnacentral:rRNA from 1 species